rnacentral:sRNA from 12 species
AUAUUAGAUUUAUAUUAUAUUAAUAAUAAAUAGAAUAAAGCUCUAAGGAGCGACUUCGUAAAAUGUUAAAUCGUAUACGAUCCUUUUCGAGACCUCGCAGAAAAUUUCUCAAGAAAGAUUAACAGCAUUUUAAAAUGGGGUUACUUUGUUUAUGAUU